rnacentral:rRNA from 1 species
GACGUAGGGCGCGAGCGUUGUCCGGAUUUAUUGGGCUUAAAGAGCUCGUAGGCGGCUUGUCGCGUCGACCGUGAAAAUCCGGGGCUCAACCCCGGACUUGCGGUGGGUACGGGCAGACUAGAGUGUGGUAGGGGAGACUGGAAGUUCCUGGUGUAGCGGUGAAAUGCGCAGAUAUCAGGAGGAACACCGGUGGCGAAGGCAGGUCUCUGGGCCAUUACUGACACUGAGAAGCGAAAGCAUGGGGAGCGAACAGG